rnacentral:rRNA from 1 species
ACGCACGCUGGCGGCGUGCUUCACACAUGCAAGUCGAACGGUGAAGGGGCCUGCUUUUGUGGGCCCUGGAUGAGUGGCGAACGGGUGAGUAACACGUGAGUAACCUGCCCCCUUCUUCUGGAUAACCGCAUGAAAGUGUGGCUAAUACGGGAUAUUCUGGGUCUGUCGCAUGAUGGGUCUGGGAAAGAUUGCGCCUUUGGGUGUUUUUGGUGGGGGAUGGGCUCGCGGCCUAUCAGCUUGUUGGUGGGGUGAUGGCCUACCAAGGCGGUGACGGGUAGCCGGCCUGAGAGGGUGGACGGUCACACUGGGACUGAGACACGGCCCAGACUCCUACGGGAGGCAGCAGUGGGGAAUAUUGCACAAUGGGCGCAAGCCUGAUGCAGCGACGCCGCGUGAGGGAUGGAGGCCUUCGGGUUGUAAACCUCUUUCGCCAGUGAAGCAGGCCUGCUCCUUGUGGGUGGGUUGACGGUAGCUGGAUAAGAAGCGCCGGCUAACUACGUG